UACGGGGGGGGCAAGCGUUGUUCGGAAUUACUGGGCGUAAAGGGCUCGUAGGUGGCCAACUAAGUCAGACGUGAAAUCCCUCAGCUUAACUGGGGAACUGCGUCUGAUACUGGAUGGCUGGAGGAUGGGAGAGGGAUGCGGAAUUCCAGGUGUAGCGGUGAAAUGCGUAGAUAUCUGGAGGAACACCGGUGGCGAAGGCGGCAUCCUGGACCAUUUCUGACGCUGAGGAGCGAAAGCCAGGGGAGCAAACGGG
rnacentral:rRNA from 1 species